ACGGGUGCUUGCACCUGGUGGCGAGUGGCGAACGGGUGAGUAAUGUAUCGGAACGUACCAUUCAGUGGGGGAUAACUAUCCGAAAGGAUAGCUAAUACCGCAUAUUCUGUGAGCAGGAAAGCAGGGGAUCGCAAGACCUUGCGCUGAUUGAGCGGCCGAUAUCAGAUUAGCUAGUUGGUGGGGUAAAAGCCUACCAAGGCGACGAUCUGUAGCGGGUCUGAGAGGAUGAUCCGCCACACUGGAACUGAGACACGGUCCAGACUCCUACGGGAGGCAGCAGUGGGGAAUUUUGGACAAUGGGCGAAAGCCUGAUCCAGCCAUGCCGCGUGAGUGAAGAAGGCCUUCGGGUUGUAAAGCUCUUUCGGCCGGGAAGAAAUCGCACAGGCUAAUACCCUGUGUGGAUGACGGUACCGGAAUAAGAAGCACCGGCUAACUACGUGCCAGCAGCCGCGGUAAUACGUAGGGGUGCGAGCGUUAAUCGGAAUUACUGGGCGUAAAGCGUGCGCAGGCGGUUUUUUAAGACAGGCGUGAAAUCCCCGGGCUUAACCUGGGAACUGCGCUUGUGACUGGAAGGCUAGAGUACGGCAGAGGGGGGUGGAAUUCCACGUGUAGCAGUGAAAUGCGUAGAGAUGUGGAGGAACACCAAUGGCGAAGGCAGCCCCCUGGGCCGAUACUGACGCUCAUGCACGAAAGCGUGGGGAGCAAACAGGAUUAGAUACCCUGGUAGUCCACGCCCUAAACGAUGUCAACUAGGUGUUGGGUGGGUAAAACCAUUUAGUACCGGAGCUAACGCGUGAAGUUGACCGCCUGGGGAGUACGGCCGCAAGGUUAAAACUCAAAGGAAUUGACGGGGACCCGCACAAGCGGUGGAUGAUGUGGAUUAAUUCGAUGCAACGCGAAAAACCUUACCUACCCUUGACAUGUUCAGAACCCUCGAGAGAUUGAGGGGUGCCCGAAAGGGAGCUGGAACACAGGUGCUGCAUGGCUGUCGUCAGCUCGUGUCGUGAGAUGUUGGGUUAAGUCCCGCAACGAGCGCAACCCUUGUCAUUAGUUGCCAUCAUUUAGUUGGGCACUCUAAUGAGACUGCCGGUGACAAACCGGAGGAAGGUGGGGAUGACGUCAAGUCCUCAUGGCCCUUAUGGGUAGGGCUUCACACGUCAUACAAUGGUCGGUACAGAGGGUUGCCAACCCGCGAGGGGGAGCUAAUCCCAGAAAGCCGAUCGUAGUCCGGAUCGCAGUCUGCAACUCGACUGCGUGAAGUCGG
rnacentral:rRNA from 1 species